rnacentral:rRNA from 1 species
AUAUUGGGCAAUGGGCGAAAGCCUGAUCCAGCCCAGCCGCGUGUUUGAAGAAGGUCCUCGGAUUGUAAAGCAACUUAAGGUGGGAGGCAGGGCAGUAAGUUAAUACCUUGCUGCUUUGACGUUAACGACAGAAAAAGCACCGGCCAACUUCGUGCCAGCAGCCGCGGUAAUACGAAGGGAGCAAGCGUUAAUCGGAAUUACUGGGCGUAAAGCGCGCGUAGGUGGUUUGUUAAGUUGGAAGUGAAAUCCCCGGGCUUAACCUGGGAACUGCUUUCAUAACUGCUGAGCUAGAGUACGGUAGAGGGUAGUGGAAUUUCCUGUGUAGCGGUGAAAUGCGUAGAUAUAGGAAGGAACACCAGUGGCGAAGGCGACUACCUGGACUGAUACUGACACUGAGGUGCGAAAGCGUGGGGAGCAAAC